rnacentral:rRNA from 1 species
GACGAACGCUGGCGGCGUGCCUAAUACAUGCAAGUAGAACGCUGAAGGAGGAGCUUGCUCUUCUGGAUGAGUUGCGAACGGGUGAGUAACGCGUAGGUAACCUGCCUGGUAGCGGGGGAUAACUAUUGGAAACGAUAGCUAAUACCGCAUAACAACAGUUGUUGCAUGACAGCUGUUUAAAAGAUGCAAUUGCAUCACUACCAGAUGGACCUGCGUUGUAUUAGCUAGUUGGUGAGGUAACGGCUCACCAAGGCAACGAUACAUAGCCGACCUGAGAGGGUGAUCGGCCACACUGGGACUGAGACACGGCCCAGACUCCUACGGGAGGCAGCAGUAGGGAAUCUUCGGCAAUGGACGGAAGUCUGACCGAGCAACGCCGCGUGAGUGAAGAAGGUUUUCGGAUCGUAAAGCUCUGUUGUAAGAGAAGAACGAGUGUGAGAGUGGAAAGUUCACACUGUGACGGUAUCUUACCAGAAAGGGACGGCUAACUACGUGCCAGCAGCCGCGGUAAUACGUAGGUCCCGAGCGUUGUCCGGAUUUAUUGGGCGUAAAGCGAGCGCAGGCGGUUAGAUAAGUCUGAAGUUAAAGGCUGUGGCUUAACCAUAGUACGCUUUGGAAACUGUUUAACUUGAGUGCAAGAGGGGAGAGUGGAAUUCCAUGUGUAGCGGUGAAAUGCGUAGAUAUAUGGAGGAACACCGGUGGCGAAAGCGGCUCUCUGGCUUGUAACUGACGCUGAGGCUCGAAAGCGUGGGGAGCAAACAGG